GAUGAACGCUGGCGGCGUGCCUAAUACAUGCAAGUCGAGCGAACAGAUAAGGAGCUUGCUCCUUUGACGUUAGCGGCGGACGGGUGAGUAACACGUGGGUAACCUACCUAUAAGACUGGAAUAACUCCGGGAAAACGGGGCAAAUGCCGGAUAACAUUUAGAAACGCAUGGUUCUAAAGUAAAAGAUGGUUUUGCUAUAACUUAUAGAUGGACCUGCGCCGUAUUAGCUAGUUGGUAAGGUAACGGCUUACCAAGGCAACGAUCCGUAGCAGACCUGAGAGGGUGACCGCCCACACUGGAACUGAGACACGGUCCAGACUCCUACGGGAGCCAGCAGUGGGGAAUCUUCCGCAAUGGGCGAAAGCCUGACGGAGCAACGCCGCGUGGGUGAUGAAGGUCUUCGGAUCGUAAAACUCUGUUAUUGGGGAAGAACAAAUGUGUAAUUAACUGUGCACGUCUUGACGGUACCUAAUCAGAAAGCCACGGCUAACUACGUG
rnacentral:rRNA from 1 species